UGGCGACCGGGUGAGUAACACGUGACUAACCUACCUUCGAGUGGGGGAUAACUCGGGAAACCGGGGCUAAUACCGCAUAACAUCCUUGUUAUGAGAAAGCAGGGAUCAAAGGAGCAAUUCGCUGGAAGAGGGGGUCGCGGCUGAUUAGCUAGUUGGUGGGGUAAUGGCCCACCAAGGCUUUGAUCGGUAGCCGGCCUGAGAGGGCGCACGGCCACACGGGAACUGAAACACGGUCCAGACUCCUACGGGAGGCAGCAGUGGGGAAUUUUGCGCAAUGGGGGAAACCCUGACGCAGCAACGCCGCGUGGAGGAUGAAGUCCCUUGGGACGUAAACUCCUUUCGACCGGGAAGAUUAUGACGGUACCGGUGGAAGAAGCCCCGGCUAACUUCGUGCCAGCAGCCGCGGUAAUACGAGGGGGGCAAGCGUUGUUCGGAAUUAUUGGGCGUCAAGGGCGCGUAAGCGGUGCGGUAAGUCACCUGUGAAAACUCUGGGCUCAACUCA
rnacentral:rRNA from 1 species